AGAGUUUGAUCCUGGCUCAGGAUGAACGCUGGCGGCGUGCUUAACACAUGCAAGUCGAACGGGAAUUACUUUAUUGAAACUUCGGUCGAUUUAAUUUAAUUCUAGUGGCGGACGGGUGAGUAACGCGUGGGUAACCUGCCUUAUACAGGGGGAUAACAGUCAGAAAUGGCUGCUAAUACCGCAUAAGCGCACAGAGCUGCAUGGCUCAGUGUGAAAAACUCCGGUGGUAUAAGAUGGACCCGCGUUGGAUUAGCUGGUUGGUGGGGUAACGGCCCACCAAGGCGACGAUCCAUAGCCGGCCUGAGAGGGUGAACGGCCACAUUGGGACUGAGACACGGCCCAGACUCCUACGGGAGGCAGCAGUGGGGAAUAUUGCACAAUGGGGGAAACCCUGAUGCAGCGACGCCGCGUGAGGGAAGAAGUAUCUCGGUAUGUAAACUUCUAUCAGCAGGGAAGAUAGUGACGGUACCUUACUAAGAAGCCCCGGCUAACUACGUGCCAGCAGCCGCGGUAAUACGUAGGGGGCAAGCGUUAUCCGGAUUUACUGGGUGUAAAGGGAGCGUAGACGGUGUGGCAAGUCUGAUGUGAAAGGCAUGGGCUCAACCUGUGGACUGCAUUGGAAACUGUCAUACUUGAGUGCCGGAAGGGUAAGCGGAAUUCCUAGUGUAGCGGUGAAAUGCUUAGAUAUCACUCAGAACACCGAUUGCGAAGGCAUCUGGCGAAUCCGUAACUGACGCUGAGGCACGAAAGCGUGGGGAUAGAACAGGAUUAGAUACCCUGGUAUUCCACGCCGUAAACGAUGAUGGCUAACCGCCGGCGACACACUGUCGGUGGCCAAGCGAAAGCGAUAAGCCAUCCACCUGGGGAGUACGUCGGCAACGAUGAAACUCAAAGGAAUUGACGGGGGCCCGCACAAGCGGAGGAACAUGUGGUUUAAUUCGAUGAUACGCGAGGAACCUUACCCGGGCUCGAACGGCACCUGGAUCGCCCAGAGAUGGGCGAGUCUUCGGACAGGUGUCGAGGUGCUGCAUGGUUGUCGUCAGCUCGCGCCGUGAGGUGUCGGCUCAAGUGCCAUAACGAGCGCAACCCCUGCCGCCAGUUGCCAUCAGGUGAUGCUGGGCACUCUGGCGGGACUGCCACCGCAAGGUGUGAGGAGGGGGGGGAUGACGUCAAAUCAGCACGGCCCUUACGUCCGGGGCGACACACGUGUUACAAUGGCGGCCACAGAGGGAAGCUACCCCGCGAGGGGAUGCGGAUCUCGAAAAGCCGUCCCAGUUCGGACUGGAGUCUGCAACCCGACUCCACGAAGUUGGAUUCGCUAGUAAUCGCGCAUCAGCCAUGGCGCGGUGAAUACGUUCCCGGGCCUUGUACACACUGCCCGUCAAGCCAUGGAAGCCGCGGGCGCCUGAAGUCCGUGACCGUAAGGAGCGGCCUAGGGCGAAAGUGGUAACUGGGGCUAAGUCGUAACAAGGUA
rnacentral:rRNA from 1 species